GCAAGCAUUUUCCUUUAAAGAUUUGGUGGAUUAUUUUCACAUAAAAAAAAAACACCAUGAUUUAUAGAAGGAAAGGUUGAGAAAAUAAUCAAAGAAAAGGUUAGAAAAGAGUGACAAGCUAUUUUAUAUAAGGACCAAAUUAUAAUAUUAAUGAAAUACAGGGAUUAAAAUACAGUUGACCCAUCUUGGGGGACAAUAACAAAUGACGGUAGCAUCAAGGUGGAUUCUGGUUGUUCUUUAUUUGAACGGUGGGGAUUUUAGCUAUAGGGUGGAAGAUUUUAAGCUAACAGUUGUCUAAUGUGGGUCCCAUUAUCUAUUUUAUGAGUGUUUUAAUUUCUUCCAUGUGUUUAGCCUUAUGUUAUUUGCCAAGCAC